rnacentral:tRNA from 1 species
GCCUCCUUAGCUCAGGGGAUAGAGCAACUGCCUUCUAAGCAGUGGGUCGCGUGUUCGAUUCACGCAGGAGGCGCCA